AUGCCUGACUUCCCUGGGACCCCGGACGUCGAGAUCCUUGAUGGCCCUGACAAGCCCGCUGCGAAGCCCUUCGACAAGCCAUUUGACCCCGUUGAUAGGAAGAGGAAGAGAGGAGGCCUGAUGGCGGAGGAGAUCAAUGUCUUCUGCAGCAUGACUGAGGCGGUGAAGGAGGUGGCAACAGCCAUCAGGGAGUGCAAGCCCCUCGACGUCCACCCUGACCUGUAUGGCGCUAUCAUGACCCAGGGUGGCUUCAGCGACGAGGCUCUCAUGGCAGCUCUCAGCCACCUGCUUGACAACACGGCCCAGGGUGUUGGGUUCGUUGCCAUGGCCGAUGCUCAUAGGGUGCUGUGGCUCAGGAGCUGGCUAGGCAAGCACUACUACUAG
rnacentral:rRNA from 1 species